AGCAGUCAUGUGUAACAGGAUGAUAUGCACAGGAAAGAGACAAAGCGUUGGUGUUUACCUGACUGCAGCUGUUAUUCUGACGUGUUUAUUUGUGCAAACUAUAGACUGUUAUCGACUGAAGAAAACAGAAAGACGAGAAGGGCGAAAAGAGGCCGACAGAGUGAAAACGAUUGAGUUCCAAGAGGGGAAAAUUGUUUUCGGGAGAUCUUUUGAAAAAGGGUCAGGCCUUGUUUCUCAAAUCACAGAUGAGACCAGGAAGUCAUCCUCAAACACUUCUGCGGAGGUUGAAGGUGCUUAUCAAGCAGACUCUGCAGGCUUCAGCCAAACACAAGUCGCCAGUUCCAAAGACGCGUCAUGGAGAAGCAUGUCGCCCUCGCUGCAGUGUGGUCGGGACCAGUUGAAGUUCAGAGCAGUGGGACCAGGAACUUCACAUUUUGCGGUAGAACAAGGAAGUGCACCUCCAAUGCCUCUGUCCCAUGUCCCUUCUACCUGUGGCUACAGCAUGCAGAGGAACUCCCUUGCACUUCUCAUGUUGGUUCCCUAUGAUGGCUGCAACAUGGUUCAAGAGGGUGGAAGUUAUGUACUCCCGAUGCGUUGGCAAGGAAUUCCAGUCUCUCUCUGGUGUUCCAAUCCUGCUGCACCCACUGCCUCACCUAUUGCAACCCCUUCCUCCACAACUGCUGCCCCCCAUUCCCCUGCACCUCAGAUACCCAGCUUCCCACCAUCAUGGCCACAGGUGCCCCAGUGGCCUCAGCUGCCUGGCGCCAACAAGAACCCAGAUGGUUCACAAUCCAAUAUUCCCCAAUCCUACUACUUGCCACCAUACUUUUACCCACAAUACCCUCAAGUGCCAGAGACAACAACAGCAACGACCAGAGAGCCUACAACUGCAAAAACAACUCGGAUGCCCCAAUACCCUCAGAUGCCCCAGUGGCCUCAGAUGCCUGGCGCCAACAAGAACCCAGAUGGUUCACAAUCCAAUAUUCCCCAAUCCUACUACUUGCCACCAUACUUUUACCCACAAUACCCUCAAGUGCCAGAGACAACAACAGCAACGACCAGAGAGCCUACAACUGCAAAAACAACUCGGAUGCCCCAAUACCCUCAGAUGCCCCAGUGGCCUCAGAUGCCUGGCGCCAACAAGAACCCAGAUGGUUCACAAUCCAAUAUUCCCCAAUCCUACUACUUGCCACCAUACUUUUACCCAAAAUACCCUCAAGUGCCAGAGACGACGAUGACCACUACAGAGCCUACAACUGCAAAAACAACUCUGCUGCCUCAGAUGCCCAAAUACCCUCAGAUGCCUCAAAUGCCCCAAUACCCUUUCUUCAAUCCUUAUCUUCCCAACUUUCCUCCCCCACUGCCAGUCACAACGGCCAACAUUUUAACUACCCAAACUACUGCCAAGCCUCAGUCCAUGCAGUUUCCACAAUAUAUGCCAAUGUAUCCUCCCUUUAAUCCUGUUUAUCCAACCACAAAGCCAAAAGCUGCGACGACGCCAACACAAACUACCUCCAGAACGACUGCCUCCCCUGUACCUCAGACACUUGGGUACCCUCCACCAUGGCUUCAGAUGCCUGGCACAAACAAGAACCCAGAUGGUUCCCAUUCCAAAAUUCCCCAAUCCUACUACUUGCCACCAUACUUUUACUCAAAAUACCCUCAAGUGCCAGAGACGACGACAGCAACGACCACAGAGCCUACAACUGCAAAAACAACUCAGAUGCCUCAAUACCCUCAAUACCCUCAGAUGCCUCAAUACCCUCAGAUGCCCCAAUACCCUCAGAUACCUCAACACCCUAUCUUCAAUCCUUAUCUUCCCAAUGUUCCUCCCCUACAUCCAGUCACUACUGCCAAAACCUCAACUACCCAAACUACUGCCAAGCCUCAGUCCAUUCAGUUUCCACAAUAUAUGCCAAUGUAUCCUCCCUUUUAUCCUAUCAAAUUUCCAACUAAAAUGCCAGAAAAUACAGCAGGGACAACACAAACUACAACCACAACUAAACCAAAGGCUAAAAAUCCCUCAUGGCAGCUUCCACAGUAUCUGCCAGUUUAUCCUCCACAUAAUAUGUUUUUCCCUCAAUUUUACCCUCCCCAGUAUUCAACUGCAAAGCCAGAAACGACAACGACUUCUACAACCACAACUAAACCAAAGGCGAAACCACAGUUUCCACAAUAUAUGCAUUACUAUAAUGCCUAUCCCCAAUAUCCAGCCACUAAGCCGACAAUGCCGCCAAAGCCAACGACUCCAGCUACAAAUGUGAAACUGGAUCACCCGACCACUCCAGCACCCCAUCCUCCUGUUCAACCCAAUCUUCCCUUUCCCGUAGCAAUGAUGCAUCCUUUUCCUCUUCCAGGCCACCCUGCUUAAAUGGUUCUAAUAAAGGUUUUGAACAGUGA